CCAUGAGCUGUGGUGUAGGUCGCAGACGCGGCUCGGCUCCUGCAUUGCCAUGGUUGUGGUGUAGGCCAGCAGCCGUAGCUCCGAUUUGAUCCCUAGCCUGGGAAUGCUAGCUGGAUACGCUGUGGGUGAGGCCCUAAAAAGAAAAAAGGAAAAAAAAAAAGCUGAUCGCAGCUCCAAACUAUUACCUUAAUUACGUCCGUAAAGGCUGGUUUCCAAAUAAGUUCCUGAGGGACAGGACUUGGAUGUGUUUGGGGGGUGCAUUAUCCAGCCCACUGCACCCUGUAAGCCCCCUUUCCUCCCUGUGAAAAGGUUUGGUGGAGCCCUGGGAAGACGUGGGCUAUGCUGGAAAGUAGCAGGUGCAGCCCCGGAUGCUAGUGGCUGGAGAGAAGGCAGUGGAUCCUAAGAGGCUGGAUCUUUGUUUUCCAGGCCCCCAGGCUGGCAGCACAAUGAAGGCCAGCUUCUCAGGGUGAGGCUGUCAUCCUCAAGUGAGGAAGGAAAGGGGCUGGGCAACCGAGAUCCCACUGGAUCGGGAGCUGGAAGAGGUGGGUCAGAUCCAAGAUGGAGGCGGUGCCUUGCACCUGUCACUCUGGGGACAGCUGAGCCAGGGGGGCUGAGCAUCCCAUGCCUAGAUGUAGGGCAGGCUCAGGGGAGGCAUCUGGGGGAACGCCCAGCCUUUCAUCCAGACAUGGAAGUAUUUGGAACACCAUCCACAGUUUGCUAGUUUGGGGCCAUAAGUUUAUGGUCAGGAGUUCCUGUCGUGGUACAGCAGAAACAAAUCCGACUAGGAACCAUGAGGUUUGGGGUUCGAUCCCUGGCUUCGCUCAGUGGGUUAAGGAUCUGGCGUUGCUGUGGCUGUGGCUGUGGCUGUGGUGUAGGGUGGCAGCUGCAGCUCUGAUUGGACCCCUAGCCUGGGAACCUCCAUAUGCUCAGGUGUGGCCCUCAAGAGACAAAAAAAAAAAAAAAAAGCUUACGGUCAGAGCCUUUACAGUUCAUUAAAAGUAUUUGUCUGUCUCAUCUUUUGUUGAGACCUGCAAUCAUUUUCCAAGCAACUUCUCUCAGUUUAUCUCUAGCGGGGGCCAGGGGGUAGGUGGCGGAGUUGGAGGGGGGGACCCUCGACUCUGCCCCAGGGCCUCAGCUUGACCAUUAAGUCAGCUCAAGUUUAGAGUUUAACAGAGGCCGGAAAAUGGGCUGGGCAGCCAAGGUGGCCGGAGGCUGGAGUCUGGGCAGGAAGGAUCUGUGGGUCUGUGGUUUCACCCCUGGGCUGACCUGGCCCCUUCCUCUCGGGCCUUGCCCCACAGCCUGGGUGACCUUGACCUUGUCCCCUCAAAGGCGAGGUUAGCAGCCUCAGAGGAGGGUCCCUGGAGUCUCUGCUCCCCAGAUGAGCCCCACCAAUGACGACACACUAGAGUCAUGCUCAGAGUCCUCUGUCCACACCUAUACCCGCAUGGGCUCCUCCGGUGUGUCACCAGACUCAGGGGUAAGAGUGCUGCUGGGAGGUGGGGGUGACCUGCCCAGGGACCUGGGCAUCUUGCCAGGAGCCAGAUCUCCAGUUUGCAGGCUAUUUGAGGAGGGUGAGCCUUUCCCUUAGGCUCAACCACCCGGAGAGGUGGCCUCACUUCCAGCUGGUGAGCCUGGGCUUCAGGAGAUCAGCUGGGCAGCCCCAGCCGACUGCGUUCAGUCAGAUAACUGGGGGUGCAGGUCUAUUAAGCACCAAGUCCAAGGUGUUCUCAACGUGCCUUCUGCAAAUAUAAACCUGCCCAGUCCUUCCAGCCUUCCAGGGGCUGCCCGUGCAUAUUACAGACAAGGAAAUGGAGGCCCAGCUGGUCAGUGGAUUCAGGCCUGGGCAUCCUGGAUUCAGGCCUCUGCUGGUGACGAGUGGCCCAGGGGGCACCACAAUGGCAGAGGGCUCCCCAGGGUUGGUGGGAUUGAGGCAAGUCUCAGCUGCCUCCUGGGAGCAGAAUACUGAGCAGGAGGAACCCCAGGCAUCAGCUGUGCUCUUGGUGGUCUGCACAGGACAUAGGCUGCUGCCAGGACUGUGGUGGGACUUACAGGACCAGCCCAACCCAGGCUCUCUUUGACACCCCCCCCUUUUGUCCUUUGGCCUGUUCAAGUUUGGGCUACUGGGUGCCCUGCCCUCACCCUCACCCCCACAUGUACCCUGACCCUGAUGCCACUCACAUCAUCAUCCUCAGGCCAGAAGAACAAACAUGAUCCCGAGAAAACGAGACUUCUUCUUGAACACAGGACGAGAGUACCCCAGAUCGAGCCUGACCUGCAACCUGCCGGCAGCCUGGCCAGGCCACCAUCGUGGGGAGGGAGGGUGGAAUGUGGGGAGGCAGCAUGUGACAGCCCUGUCUCCCCCCAAACAUGGCCCCAGGCUCUAUGCUGGGUGAUGGCCUGAGCCUCAGGGCCCUCAUCUUUUUUUUUUUUUUUUUUUUUUUUUUAUGGCCACAUCCAUGGCAAAUGGAAGUUCCCAGCCUAGGGGUUGAAUCAGAGUUACAGCUACCGGCUUAUAUCAUAGCCACAGCAACACGGAUCCAAGCAGCAUCUGCAACCUAUACCUCAAUAACCCACUGAACAAGGCUAGGGAUCAAGCCCGCAUCCUCAUGGAUACUAGUCAGGUUCAAACCUGCUGAGCCACAAACAGGAACUCCCAGGGCCUUCAUCUUGAUGGUGUGAAUGGGAACUGCUCCCUUGCUUCGGGGUAAAAAUAUCAUCCCGUGUCUUUGAAACUGCCAGGCAGGGGGCUGGCCCUAGAAGGAAGAGAUGUGUGCUGGCUAGCAAUGCUUCUGCUCAGACACAGCUUCCCAGGGCCUUCCCUGCUCUGCUUCCUGAAGCUCCAUCUUCAAACUAAAGCUGUGCAUCCCAUAAAUCCAGCCUCUCCUAGCCCCUCAGCCCUCAGCCUGGUUAAUAAGGCCUGUCUCCAGCCCCACUCGGCCACUCCUUAAACUUUAACUGAUUUAAUUGUACAUUUGAAUUAGGUAGAUUAUAUAUAUAUAUAUAUAUAUCUUUAUAGGGCCACACCCGUGGCAUAUGGAGGUUCCCAGGCUAGGAGUCUAAUCAGAGCUAUAGCUGCCGGCCGACACCAGAGCCACAGUAACACCAGAUCUGAGCCACGUCUAUGGCCUACAUGACAGCUCACGGCAACGCCAGAUCCUUAACCCACUGAGUGAGGCCAGGGAUGGAACCCAAAACCUCAUGGUUCCUAGUCAGAUUCGUUAACCACUGAGCAACGAUGGGAACUCCUGAUAUUUUUAAAUGUUUAAAAAAAUGAUAGAUGGGACUUACCAUCUUGGCGCCGUGGAAACAAAUCGACCAGGAACCAUGAGGUUGCAGGUUCGAUCCCUGGUUUUGCUCAGUGGGUUAAGGAUCUGGCAUUGCUGUGGCUGUGGUGUAGGCCAGCAGCUGUAGUUCUGAUUAGACCCCUAGCCUGGGAAUCUUCAUAUGCCGCAAGAGAAGCCCUAAAAAAAUUUUAAAAUGAUAGAAACAUGUUCUCUUUAUAAUAAAAUUAAGCACUAAAUAGUAUACAAAAUAGAGAGUAAAAAUCCCCCUUCCUUACCACCUACUCCCUCACCUCCAGAGACAAGCAUCGUCCAAUGGUGAGGGAGUUCCCUGGCAGCCCAGCAUUUAAGGACCCAGCACUGUCAUUGCUGUGGUACAGGUUCAAUCCCUGGCCCUGUAUGCUGCAGGCACAGCACCCCCACCCC
rnacentral:lncRNA from 1 species